rnacentral:rRNA from 1 species
GAUGAACGCUGGCGGCGUGCUUAACACAUGCAAGUCGAACGAACCCUUCGGGGUUAGUGGCGGACGGGUGAGUAACACGUGGGAACGUGCCUUUAGGUUCGGAAUAACUCAGGGAAACUUGUGCUAAUACCGAAUGUGCCCUUCGGGGGAAAGAUUUAUCGCCUUUAGAGCGGCCCGCGUCUGAUUAGCUAGUUGGUGAGGCAAUGGCUCACCAAGGCUACGAUCAGUAGCUGGUCUGAGAGGAUGACCAGCCACAUUGGGACUGAGACACGGCCCAAACUCCUACGGGAGGCAGCAGUGGGGAAUCUUGCGCAAUGGGCGAAAGCCUGACGCAGCCAUGCCGCGUGGAUGAUGAAGGUCUUAGGAUUGUAAAAUCCUUUCACCGGUGAAGAUAAUGACUGUAGCCGGAGAAGAAGCCCCGGCUAACUUCGUGCCAGCCGCCGCGGUAACAC